rnacentral:lncRNA from 1 species
GAGACAAGUCGCAUUCUUAUAGCGAGUCAAUGGAUGAUUCAAACAAUGAUUCACAUGAGCCCUAAAACGCCUCUAAUAACCCUGCUUGAAGCGAAUUGCUGUUCUCCAUCGACUUCAUCGAGAGUUUUUGUCGUCGACGGAGUAAUAGAUGAAGAUCCGUCCUGCUCUGGGAUGAUGCACUGAUGCACUUCUCUGAGAUGUUCGGUCCCCCCAGGAGAAGACCUUCAUUGAAAUGCUCCUUUGACUUGAUCAGUCAUGCUUCAGCUGCAGGUCAGUUGGCCUAUUUUCUCUGAUACUGCUGGAAGUGUUCCU